ACUCCUACGGGAGGCAGCAGUGGGGAAUAUUGCACAAUGGGCGCAAGCCUGAUGCAGCCAUGCCGCGUGUGUGAAGAAGGCCUUGGGUUGUAAAGCACUUUCAGUCGUGAGGAAGGUAGUGUAGUUAAUAGCUGCAUUAUUUGACGUUAGCGACAGAAGAAGCACCGGCUAACUCCGUGCCAGCAGCCGCGGUAAUACGGAGGGUGCGAGCGUUAAUCGGAAUUACUGGGCGUAAAGCGCAUGCAGGUGGUUGUUAAGUCAGAUGUGAAAGCCCGGGGCUCAACCUCGGAAUAGCAUUUGAAACUGGCAGACUAGAGUACUGUAGAGGGGGUAGAAUUUCAGGUGUAGCGGUGAAAUGCGUAGAGAUCUGAAGGAUACCGGU
rnacentral:rRNA from 1 species